rnacentral:rRNA from 1 species
CACACUGGAACUGAAACACGGUCCAGACUCCUACGGGAGGCAGCAGUGGGGAAUAUUGCGCAAUGGGCGAAAGCCUGACGCAGCGACGCCGCGUGAGGGAUGAAGGUUUUCGGAUCGUAAACCUCUGUCAGAAGGGAAGAAACUACGUUGUGCUAAUCAGCAGCGUACUGACGGUACCUUCAAAGGAAGCACCGGCUAAC